GUUGAACUUCACUUCCCAGCAAACCCUGCGGCUUCCUAUCGCGAGAGGCAUGACGAGAACCUCGCUGCUCUCUCUUCUGGAGUGGAGGGUCCCAGCAGAGGCGGGACACGUCCCAGCACAGCGUAAAGGGCGCGCGGCAUCCUGGGAUAUGUAGUCUGGCUGGAACCAGAGCGCCCCCUCAAAUGAAUGGGGUCGGGGCUGACAGUGAACUACAGCUCCUCUGGCCGGGAGCGUUGGUGGCGGCGCCGGGCAGAGCGGCGCUCCGGGAAGGGACGAAGUUCUGUGCCACCGCCGAGGUAGUGGUCUAGGCGGGCGCUUUCUCCGCGCGCGCUCCCCUUCCCCGCGCCCGCUCUUCGCGGUGGGCUUGGUGUUCGCUGGCUGCUGCAGUAACGUGAUCUUCCUGGAGCUCCUGGUCAUGAGUGAAGGCAAUGUCCCUGGACAUGAGCCUGACUGACUGUAGUCUUGGAGAUUCCUGCUCAGGAGGAUAUAGAAAUGUUUCUAGGAGACCUGAGCAUGAGCUGUACAGGCUGACUAGGAUCCUGAAUGAAGUCCUCUUGGUUACGAAGCAUCCAGGAUGCGGGAACAUUGUGACAUUUGCACCAUUUUUAUUUAUUGCUGUGGAAGGCUUCCUCUUUGAAGCCAAUUUGGGGAGGAAGCAGCCAGCUAUCCCAAUAAGGUAUGUACAUUGAAGUCUCUUUUAGCCUUGUUUGUCUUAAAAUAACAUCACCUAAGAAUCCAGAAACACCAGUCAGAAAGAAUAUAUCCACCCCUAUGUUCAUAGCAGUGCAAUUUACACUAGCUAAGAUUUGUAAACAGCCCCAGUGCCCAUCAGCGAGAUGAGCAGAUAAAAAGGCUGUGGCACCUUUACACACUGGAAUGCUACACAGCUGUAAGAAAAGAAAGAACUCACCAUUUGCAACAGUGGGCAUGAACC